AGCGCCGCGGCGCCUUUUAAGCGGUGGGGCCGCCCUCCCCCGCCACCGGAAUGCGCCCGCGCUGCGCCGGCCCGACCGGUUUUUCCGGGCCAGGCGGCUCCCGGGCCGGCUGGUCGCGCGGCGGGUCGUCCGGGGCCCCAGUACCUGCUCGGCGCGCCCGCGCGGGGGUGGCCCUGACUCACCGGCCUCCCGGCCCCGCCCGGCGCCCCCGCCUCGGGCGCACAGCCUGGGAGCCCCUGGGGGCCGCACCCGCACUGUCUCGCCUGGGACCCGGCGCCCAGACUCACUGCGGAAAGGGGGUGUGACACUGGCCGAGCUGGUGCCCAGGGCGGCCCCGGCAGGCACGCCCGGCCAGCAGAAGACCAGUGUCCUCUCGGCUCAGAACCUCAGGUUGGUCCCAGGCCAGGACGCAGCUGCCAGGUUGUGAUGGACCCCCCCAGGCAUGUCCACACAUGCCACAUGUGGCUCCCUCUCACCACCACCCUGAUUACAUCAGAGGGGACUGGUGACACAGGGGAGGAAGGUGACAAGCACAAGCACCUGUGGCUCCCAAUUGCAGCAGGAGGUAUCAAGGUGUGACCAGAAGGGGAACUUCCUAUCACGAAAGAGAAAUCGAGUUCCCUGUAGCUGUGGGUGGGGGAGCCCUGGGGGGCCCUGUCUGGGAAGUCUGAUUUUAUGAUGAAAAUGCUGGGAAAAGGUAGAUAGCUGCCUAAAUGUGGAGAUGUUUUCUGAGAUAACCCUGAGGUCCUGGUGAUUUGAGAUGGGCUGGAGGCCUCAUCCAGAGGGAAAUUACUGGGUGUGGGCCAUGCAGCUCUCCUCUGCGGAGUCUGCUCCCCCCGAGACCCCGUGGGGCUCAGGGGACUCCCCCGCGCUUAUCCAGCACUCGCUGUGCCAAGCCUGGCUCCCCUGUCCCAUGCCAGCCCCAUGCCAUGUCUCCCAGUGGCACUGCCUUUCAGAGGGGAGGAGGCUGCCCUCGUGCCAGGCAGGCUCACAGUCCAGCUCCGCCAUGUGCCAGCGUGGAACCCGGAGCACAGCCCUGGGCCUGAGCUUCCUCCUCUGUGACAUGAGAAGGAAGAUGAAGCAACACCCUCUCAGGGGUGUAGCGGACGACAAGCCAGCACAGGCAGAAAGUGAGCCUCCAGCACUGUCAUCUGCGGCUGCUCCCUCUCACAUGGUGCGGUGCGCCUGGGAGCCCAGCAGCCCUUUCGCUCCCCUGGUGCUACUCUGACUCUCCGAGGAGCUAACUUACCGGGCCAGGCUGGCCUCUCCCCAAGGAACACAAAAUGACCCCUAAACAUGUGCCCGCGACUUGCCAGAGCGUUCAGAGACGCGUGCCCAGCCCAGAAGCUGCUCACGGUAGGGCUCUGUGUCCCACAAGCACGUGGAGGAGCCCAGCCCUGGUGGGGAGCUGCCCCCACCUGUCUGGCUGGCGGAAGCUUCUCCUCGGCCAUCAGUGACCCACCUGGGGAAACCAGCUCAGCAUGUGCUGUCCACGGGCCACUCAGGAGACAGCGGGCAUGCUACACCGGCAGGUUGGCACCCGCUCUGGGAGGGUGCUGCCACCUCGGGUAACAGGAGCCACCUGCGGCUUUCACAACCUGGGGCUCCACGGGGCCUGGGAGAAGUGACGAGUGUGGCGUGGCCAUGAGUGACAGACUCUGGCCUUCUCCAGUCCCUCGGGAGCCGAGCUGAAGGGGGUGGGUGCCUCCUGUGAGCUGCUGUAUGAGGGAGCCCCGGAGAGGACAGGGAGGUGCAGUGAUCUGCCGUGGGACCCGAGAGGUGGCCUUAUCCCUCCUCGCCUCCAUUGGGCAUUUGUCCGACUCCCAUUGCCUCCCCUAUGGCCUUCUGAGGGUCCCAGCCCACUAGCAACAGCAGGGGAUCCUGGCUCGUGAGCCUCUGCACCCCCCACUCAUGGGCCCCCACUCAUCAGGGUGUGGGGCAAAGGUUCCCCAAGACUUGCCAUGCUUAUGUGGCAUUACCUGGUUGUGCAAGGCCCAGGCACACCCGUGUCUGGGCGAGAAUCUGGAAGGCUGCCAGCCAAGGUGCCAGCCCGGGCCUGGGAACCAGGCUGAGAAGCCUGCAGGUGCGGGUGGAGCCGCCUCCAGCCCGGCCCACCUAGGAGAGGCCCCAGCUGCACAGUGGAUGCCAAAGACAAGCUCUUGGGGUCACACUUUUGCCCAAUAUCUACAGGGCACAUGCCCUCAGGCUGCUCUCUCCUGAGCCCCCAGCCCAGGGCCCAAUGGACAAACGGAUGGGAAUCCUCAUGUGGGCAGUUAGGGAGGCACCGAGGUGGUGGGGGCCCCGGGGGAGGCAGCCCCCACAGCUCCUUCUGCCCAGUAGGGGGGUUUCAGGGACUGUGAGCAGGAGGGAAGGCCAUGGCCAGCCAGGCCCAGUGUCGCCAGGUGGGCCUGAGCCUGGCACGUGCCCUUGCCCCACUGGACUGCUCACCGUUUGGACAAGGAACUGGCCGGGGGUCCAAACACCUGAUGUCAUUCCCAGACGGGCUUCUGACAAAGCAUGCGGCUGCCCACUGGCCUUAGAGAGCCACACCCACUGGACCCGGGCCUGCCCAUCACACACCUGCCCACAGCAGGGCCAGCCCCCACCCGCCC
ensembl:lncRNA